GUUAAAGUUUUGCAACAUCUGGAGGGCCGCCAGUUUGAGACCCUUGAGCUAUACACAUACAAAAGACAUGUAAAGCAUCCGAAUGACCUAUUACCAACAUGUCAACAUGGACCAAACACAGUGUGUGGUGCAUACUCUUCAACUUGCAGUACAAAUGAUGCAGGAGGAGGGAAGUAUUAAGAGACUCUGUGACAGACUCUUUGAAGUAAGAUCUGAAGACCUGGGUCAUAAAGACCCAACUCGAAGAAGAAAUCUCUCUCGAUUGCAAACAAUCCUCCGGCCAUGGCAGGAGACCUAAAUAAUAAAUGCAUUGAAUAAAUAUACUUUUGUCCUGUGUUAGAAUAACAUCAAAAUUAUUAAAUCAGGAGGAAUGUCAAUACCAAGACAGUAGAAUUGAAGCAAGACAGUGUAGAAAACCCAUAAGAAUGAAGCAAAAUCAGUUGUGGAAGACAGAGAGGCAGCCAUUAAAGAAGAAAAAGUUCUGGUUGAGUAAUGAGAGCCAGCCAUUAAAACGUAAUGAUCUGUAACCUUCUCCUUACAUUUAAUAAGUGACAGUGUUGUAUUAUCUGUUAAAUAAGGUAAAUACAGACUUCAAGUCCAACUUGUGAAUUAAAUUACUAAGCAUUUAACAUAUUUGUGGGGGGGGAUUUAUCAUUCCUGCACCAGCACAAAGGGGGAGAUUUAUCAAAACCUGUGCAAAGGAACAGUUGCCCAG